AGGACGAACGCUGGCGGCGUGCUUAACACAUGCAAGUCGAGCGGUAAGGCCCUUCGGGGUACACGAGCGGCGAACGGGUGAGUAACACGUGGGUGACCUGCCCCCUACUCUGGGAUAAGCCUGGGAAACUGGGUCUAAAUACCGGAUAUGACUACAUGUCGCAUGGUGUGUGGUGGAAAGUUUUUCGGUGGGGGAUGGGCCCGCGGCCUAUCAGCUUGUUGGUGGGGUGAUGGCCUACCAAGGCGACGACGGGUA
rnacentral:rRNA from 1 species